rnacentral:rRNA from 1 species
CCUACGGGAGGCAGCAGUGAGGAAUAUUGGUCAAUGGACGAGAGUCUGAACCAGCCAAGUAGCGUGAAGGAUGACUGCCCUAUGGGUUGUAAACUUCUUUUAUAUGGGAAUAAAAUGUUCCACGUGUGGGAUUUUGUAUGUCCCAUAUGAAUAAGGAUCGGCUAACUCCGUGCCAGCAGCCGCGGUAAUACGGAGGAUCCGAGCGUUAUCCGGAUUGAUUGGGUUUAAAGGGAGCGUAGGUGGAUUGUUAAGUCAGUUGUGAAAGUUUGCGGCUCAACCGUAAAAUUGCAGUUGAAACUGGCAGUCUUGAGUACAGUAGAGGUGGGCGGAAUUCGUGGUGUAGCGGUGAAAUGCUUAGAUAUCACGAAGAACUCCGAUUGCGAAGGCAGCUCACUGGACUGCAACUGACACUGAGGCUCGAAAGUGUGGGUAUCAAACAGGAUUAGAUACCCGUGUAGUC